rnacentral:rRNA from 1 species
CCUACGGGGGGCUGCAGUGGGGAAUAUUGCACAAUGGGCGCAAGCCUGAUGCAGCCAUGCCGCGUGUGUGAAGAAGGCCUUCGGGUUGUAAAGCACUUUCAGCGGGGAGGAAGGCGUUAAGGUUAAUAACCUUGGCGAUUGACGUUACCCGCAGAAGAAGCACCGGCUAACUCCGUGCCAGCAGCCGCGGUAAUACGGAGGGUGCAAGCGUUAAUCGGAAUUACUGGGCGUAGAGCGCACGCAGGCGGUCUGUCAAGUCGGAUGUGAAAUCCCCGGGCUCAACCUGGGAACUGCAUUCGAAACUGGCAGGCUAGAGUCUUGUAGAGGGGGGUAGAAUUCCAGGUGUAGCGGUGAAAUGCGUAGAGAUCUGGAGGAAUACCGGUGGCGAAGGCGGCCCCCUGGACAAAGACUGACGCUCAGGUGCGAAAGCGUGGGGAGCGAACAGGAUUAGAUACCCGAGUAGUC